rnacentral:tRNA from 1 species
GCCACCUUAGCUCAGUUGGUAGAGCAAUAGUUUUGUAAACUAUGGGUCGUCAGUUCGAGUCUGACAGGUGGCU